rnacentral:lncRNA from 11 species
GCCUCCCUCCUCGGGAGGCAAAUUUCCCUCGCGCGUGCGCAGUCAGGCGCCCCUAUUGUCUUCUCAGAAGAGAAGCAGCAGGGGGAGGAGGGGGAUCCUUGACGCAUGCGUACAACGCGUUCAGGCGCAGGAUUGGAAGCUGUCUACGCAUGCGCAGUGGGCUCCGUUUUAGUCUCGCUUCCUCCAGGAGCAGCAGCAGCAGCGGAGGAGGAGAUGCUCGGCGCAUGCGCCCAGGGCGGGAGUCCGUCGGCGCCGGCGCGUGCGCAGUGGGCGCGGCUAUUGUCUUGUUUCCUUCCCUCCUCCUCAGGAGGAGGAGGCGGCGGCGAGGCGGCGGCUGAGGCAGCGGCGCCGGCGUCGGAGGCUGAGGCUGGGCAGAACCUGGAUGAGCCCCGCCGGAGGCCCGUGCCGCCCGCUGGGGCGCGGCGGAGAGGCGGAGGAGGGGGAGGAGGAUGCAGUAGCGGAGGCCUGGCCGCGGCCAUGGGGGGCAAGCAGAGCUCCACGGCGGCGGCGGCGGCCACGGGAGGCCCCGGCGGACCAGGCCGCGCCAUGGGCCUCCGCAGCCGCUCCGUCAGCUCCGCCACGGAGCCCUAGUCUCAAUCCGCGUCCUCCUCCUCCGCGCCCGCCGCCACGUAGCCGCACCCGAUGUCUGCUGCUCUUUCCUUGCGCUAGGCCUCGCCGCCUCCUCGGCCGGGCCCCGGCCCCGCCCCUUUCUCCCAUGGCUAACGGUUUCCAGGAGACGGGGGGAGGAGGAGGGGGCCCUCCCCCCCGCGACGGGUGCUCUACCUGGGCGCGCGCGCCUCCUCCGCCCUCGCCGACGCCCUCCCCAUCCACCUCGGGCCGCGGUGGUUCGGCGCCUCGCACGGCGGUUUCAAGUGCCCCAUUUGCUCCAAAUCCGUGGCUUCCGAUGAAAUGGAAAUGCACUUUAUCAUGUGUCUGA